GAGAGGGAAUGCCUCUCAGGUAAAGAGGUGCAAGGCAAGAGGGAAAGUACUUCCAUUUAUUUUUUAACGUAGAAGAUCUACACACCUCAUCCAGUUAAUUCACACAUCUGGAUCUUCUGUCGGCCUUUUAUAUAUGUGUGUUCGUCUCACUAUCGAUCGCCAAGAUCAGCCAUGAAGAGUUUAGGUAUCCUCCUGUACUCCAUGUUACCACUCCUGAUGAUCUAUAAUGUUUCAGCAUUCAGUUCUGUAAAGGUAAAUCUUCAUGAAGCUGCUACUCUCCCCUGUAAUCAGACGUGUUCUGGUCUGGUUAGAUGGAUUGUGUUGCAUAAAUCAGGUGACAUUCUGGCUCAGUGUAAUCAGACAUCAUGUCAGUCAAAGGAGGGAUUUCACAUGUCCCAUGAUCAGUACCUGAAGGGAGAUCUCUCCCUCACAAUCACUGAUGUUGAUUAC